GGAAGCAGAUGUGGGGUUAGAGAAUAACAGUGCAUAUCUCCUUUGACAAAAGAGAACAUGCAAAUGCAUAUUGCAUACUUCUGUUUCGUCAAAGGAGAAUUGCACUGUCAGUCACCUGCACAUAAUCAUUUCAUGCCUGCAGCUUCAGUAUCGUGACUAUACCAACAAAUAAGCUUGUAAAUGCUGAACUGUAACAAGUAACAACUGGGAUCAGCAACAUAUAUGUGUACUAGAAGUUUGACGAGAAUUGGUGAAUCUAACAUGGGCAGUUAUUGUCAAGCUUAAAUAGCUCUAUAUUAAGAUUACAAGAAUGUGAUUGAUAUUGAAGGCUAGCUCAAUUGAGUUCUAUUUCCGACCAGCAUAAGCUUCUUCUUUGCCCCUUUUUCUUUUUCUAGGAAGCAUAAGACUCAUACAACUACAGAAAUCUGAGUAAAUUUUGUAUCAUUCAUAGUGAUGAUUCUCUGUUAUAUCAAAAGUAAGCUCUCGUUGAUCUUUUUUCUUCA